UACGGAGGGUGCAAGCGUUAAUCGGAAUUACUGGGCGUAAAGGGUGCGUAGGUUGUUUAUUAAGUUAUCUGUAAAAUCCCUGGGCUUAACCUGGGCAGGUCAGAUAAGACUGAUAGACUCGAGUAUGGGAGAGGGUAGUGGAAUUUCCGGUGUAGCGGUGAAAUGCGUAGAGAUCGGAAGGAACACCAGUGGCGAAGGCGGCUACCUGGCCUAAUACUGACACUGAGGCACGAAAGCGUGGGGAGCAAACAGG
rnacentral:rRNA from 1 species